CCAAGGUGCCAUUUCGUGAAGCACAUGUGAAGACGGUGAGAAGGGUGGGAGAAGAUAUUUUCUGAAACGCAACGUGAUGUAGACGCUGAAAAGAGCUGUGCAACAAGUGAUGGUGCAAGAACGGAAUAAUUGGAG